rnacentral:rRNA from 1 species
AGAGUUUGAUCAUGGCUCAGGACGAACGCUGGCGGCGUGCCUAAUACAUGCAAGUCGAGCGAAUCGACGGGAGCUUGCUCCCUGAGAUUAGCGGCGGACGGGUGAGUAACACGUGGGCAACCUGCCUAUAAGACUGGGAUAACUUCGGGAAACCGGAGCUAAUACCGGAUACGUUCUUUUCUCGCAUGAGAGAAGAUGGAAAGACGGUUUACGCUGUCACUUAUAGAUGGGCCCGCGGCGCAUUAGCUAGUUGGUGAGGUAAUGGCUCACCAAGGCGACGAUGCGUAGCCGACCUGAGAGGGUGAUCGGCCACACUGGGACUGAGACACGGCCCAGACUCCUACGGGAGGCAGCAGUAGGGAAUCUUCCGCAAUGGACGAAAGUCUGACGGAGCAACGCCGCGUGAACGAAGAAGGCCUUCGGGUCGUAAAGUUCUGUUGUUAGGGAAGAACAAGUACCAGAGUAACUGCUGGUACCUUGACGGUACCUAACCAGAAAGCCACGGCUAACUACGUGCCAGCCGCCGCGGUAAUAC